rnacentral:rRNA from 1 species
UACAGAGGACCCGAGCGUUAAUCGGAAUCACUGGGCUUAAAGGGUGCGUAGGCGGACCCGAAGGUGCAUCGUGAAAUCCCUCGGCUCAACCGAGGAAUUGCGGUGCAUACCACGGGUCUUGAAGUAAGUAGGGGCUGUCGGAACGCUCGGUGGAGCGGUGAAAUGCGUAGAUAUCGAGCGGAACGCCGAAGGUGUAGACAGGCAGCUAGGCUUAUCUUGACGCUGAGGCACGAAAGCGUGGGGAUCAAACAGG